UGGGGAAUAUUGCACAAUGGGCGGAAGCCUGAUGCAGCGACGCCGCGUGGGGGAUGACGGCCUUCGGGUUGUAAACCUCUUUCAGUGCAGAACAAGGCUCUUUGUGGGUUGAGGGUAUGCGCAGAAGAAGCGCCGGCUAACUACGUGCCAGCAGCCGCGGUAAUACGUAGGGCGCGAGCGUUGUCCGGAUUUAUUGGGCGUAAAGAGCUCGUAGGCGGUUUGUCGCGUCUGCUGUGAAAUCCUCUGGCUUAACUGGGGGCGUGCAGUGGGUACGGGCAGGCUGGAGUGCGGUAGAGGAGACUGGAAUUCCUGGUGUAGCGGUGGAAUGCGCAGAUAUCAGGAGGAACACCGGUGGCGAAGGCGGGUCUCUGGGCCGUUACUGACGCUGAGGAGCGAAAGCAUGGGG
rnacentral:rRNA from 1 species